CCUACCCCUGCAAGUGUUACAGGUGUGGCUGCUGUAUCACAUGUGAGUCAGUAGUUGCAGAGGGCAGAGAGGCUAUGUUUACAUUCAGUGGUCUGUCCUAUGAACAUCUGAGUGAUUAGUGGUCUAUUACU